GACCCCGCAGCGUCGUGGCUAGAGUAGGGUCUGGAGAGAGCUCCCACUGUGGCGAGUCCUGUCGUUGGAUUCCCGCGGCGCCCCGUAAGGCUCCGCCCCGGCGGUGCUACCAAACCCUGUUCGAUUUUAGAAUCGUACAUUCCCAGAGGGAAUCCUAGACCCCUCAUUUUACAGUUGAGGAAACAGGCCCAAGUAGCAUGACUUGUUCGCGCCGCUAGUCGAAGGAGCAGCAGCCCCGAUCCCUUGACUCUGGGGCACUGCUUUCCCUUUAGCUCAUUUUUGGAGGAAAUGGGUGCGCCCUUGCUCGACCUUUGGUGAUUGCCGCCACAGGCCUUCCCGCCGGCUAACUCAGCGUGCCCAAGUCCCGUGACUUAGUGCCAGGACGGUGCUGUGACCCGUUAUCCCCUGUCGGGUUUUACCUCCCCCCGGGAGAGCUCAGCCCUGGAUCCCGGCGGGCGGCGGAGCCUCUCUGGAGCCCGGACGGGACAGCCCACCAGGGUCUGCUUCUGUGAGGGGCCGAGGCGUCAUUCCGCGAAGCCUUCUCCUUGCUGUUGCCAUGUGAAGAAGGAUGUGUUUGCUUCCCCUUCUGCCAUGAUUGUAAGUUUUCUGAAGCCUCUCCAGCCAUGCCAAACUGAAGCUGCUGGAAGGUACACAUCUUGGGAGUUUGCCCUUUGAAGCUCACCUGUGGACCUUUUUUCCUUUCGAAAAGAAGCAUAAGCUGCAAUAAAAAUUUGGUUUCAAGAUAACAAAGUCAGUCCCCAAAAAUCAGUAUUGAGAGUCACUGACAUUAAAUGAUGAAGAUACGAGGAUGGUGUGGGGACCUUUACUCUUCGAAGAUGAGCUAUACAUGCCCCUGAAAAGGCUGUCUGAAGACAGGGGAAGGCUGGAGAUGGCAACUUUGGCCUCUGCCAAGUACUCGUGCUAUUUUCUGUAUGUGA
rnacentral:lncRNA from 1 species